GAUUGAAGGGAUCCAGGGAGGGACAGCCACUGACUCUGGCCCAGCAAGGGAUACUGGCCUCUUCAUACAAUUGGCUGGUAACACCCUUACACUUUUGGAGCCACCAGACUAUGAUUUGCCGAGGGAAGCCACAUCUACAGCAGUGGAGUGCACUUCUGCCGAUGAUGAGACCGUGUCGCUGGACUCUAGAAGGCUCGAGGAUCCUGACAUUGGGCAGUCUGAUAAGCAGCCUGGUAACAUAAAUUCACAAACUGUCAG